rnacentral:rRNA from 1 species
AGCGAACGCUGGCGGCAGGCCUAACACAUGCAAGUCGAACGAACUCUUCGGAGUUAGUGGCGGACGGGUGAGUAACACGUGGGAACGUGCCUUUAGGUUCGGAAUAACUCAGGGAAACUUGUGCUAAUACCGAAUGUGCCCUUCGGGGGAAAGAUUUAUCGCCUUUAGAGCGGCCCGCGUCUGAUUAGCUAGUUGGUGAGGUAAAGGCUCACCAAGGCGACGAUCAGUAGCUGGUCUGAGAGGAUGAUCAGCCACAUUGGGACUGAGACACGGCCCAAACUCCUACGGGAGGCAGCAGUGGGGAAUCUUGCGCAAUGGGCGAAAGCCUGACGCAGCCAUGCCGCGUGAAUGAUGAAGGUCUUAGGAUUGUAAAAUUCUUUCACCGGGGACGACAAUGACGGUACCCGGAGAAGAAGCCCCGGCUAACUUCGUG